AAACACUUGAUACUAACUGAACUAUCUACAUCCUAGCCUUGUGUCAAAGGCUUGUGAUAGCUGGGUUUAAGAACUGCAAUAUUGAAACAAAAGCCAUGAGUCUUUUAAGCUCAGUGUAUAAAGACACACUCUGAGUUAUAACUCAGUGGCAUAACU